UUCGCCUUGAGCACAGUGUGCCCGUCGAUUUCAAUCGUCGUCUUCGUUCGAGAACGCUUACCCAUCAUAACGUUGGCGUUGAACUCUGCAGCGAUGUCUUUGACUGAUUUGUACUUGUUAGCCUUGGCUUCGCUCACAGCGUCGGCGCUCACGCCCAUGUCGUUGGCGAUCGCCUCGGGAAGCAUGAAGGUGGAGAUGGGCGCCGCUUCAGCCUUGCCUUCGAUGUAGUCUUCGGCGGUCGUCACAUCGGUUUGGAGGUCACCGAGCUUUUUACGUCGCUUUUCGCCCGCG
rnacentral:lncRNA from 1 species